AUACCAUGAUGAGGACAUCUCCUAAGUAACUCCUUAAAUCUUUCCCAUGCAUUAUACAAACUUUCAUCUUCAAGUUGAUGGAAAGAUAUCAAAAAUUUGUCAGC
rnacentral:snoRNA from 1 species